rnacentral:rRNA from 1 species
AUUGAACGCUGGCGGAAGGCCUAACACAUGCAAGUCGAACGAGUGGCGGACGGGUGAGUAAUGUCUGGGUAACUGCCCGAUGGAGGGGGAUAACGACUGGAAACGGUAGCUAAUACCGCAUACCAUCGGAUGUGCCCAGAUGGGAUUAGCUUGUAGGUGGGGUAACGGCUCACCUAGGCGCCGAUCCCUAGCGGGUCUGAGAGGAUGACCAGCCAGACUGGGACUGGGACACGGACCAGACUCCUCCGGGAGGCAGCAGUGGGGAAUAUUGCGCAAUGGGCGCAAGUCUGAUGCAGACAUGCCGCGUGUGUGAAGAAGGCCUUCGGGUUGUAAAGUACUUUCAGCGGGGAGGCGUUACCCGCAGAAGAAGCACCGGCUAACGCCGUGCCAGCAGCCGCGGUAAUUC